UUGACCGUAAGGUUGUAAUAAUUGUGAAACAGUAUAUGCAUACCCAUCAUUAGCCGUUCACUUGAGAUCACUAAUCUCCAGCUCAAAGGCCGUCAGCUUCUAGUCCAUCAGCCUAACUCCAAGUUAUACUCAAUGCUUAUAUAUCUAUCCAGUCUAAAGAUUCACAUUUAGGCAUUACCCAUUGUAUUUUUGAAUUACGAAGUAGCCAAUAGCCAUUUUCUCAUAAUGACUGCUCGUAUUUGCAACAUAAUACUGAGGCGAGCAUUGAACGUACAUAGACUAGUCAAUACAGUAGCAUAUAACGGUAGAGACAGAGUUAUAUACAGUCUGCUUGCAUACAGGAUCUCCAUUAGUAAAGGGAUCAAGAGAGUAGCCGGAUUUCCUAUUGUAAAGGCACAAGGAGCAUUUCUCUUAAAAAUCAAUUUCCAACAAGAAUAUAACGAUAGAUAGGAUCUUUAGAGAAUGGUACGUGUAUCCUAUACAUAUAUAUAUAUACAUAUAUACAUAGAUUCUAUAUAAGAUACUAAUACUUGUAACAUACAGUACUAGUAAUUUAAACUGCCAUAGGUAGAAGUUAUUGCCAGCGCAUCGUACUUUCACUAGUUCGAAUUCGUAUAAAGUUGGUCGGCGUGUUAUUAGCCAUAUUUCAAGGCUGACCUAUCAGCGUACAGAUCGUUAGUAGGAUUCUGCCUGACGGAAGAGGGAUAUGUACUCGCAUACACUUAGCACGCUUAUCCAUCCGCUUAAAGUCAGAAGAUCUUUGUACAGAGGAACACGAUCUUCUCAUCCUCAACGUCGAUCGUUCGGCAGGUCUGACCUUUUGAAGUUUGCUGUUUACUUUCUCCGACUAGCGAUUCUCGUCGUGGCCCAUCUUGGAGGAAGGUCGAGACCUUCAACCUUUUACCCAAGUACUCGUGGACGGGAAACGUAUUCCUUUGGGAUACUGAUGCUCUGGUUAAUUCAACUUGCUGUAACAGUUAACUAAUGUCAGGAGCUUCUUCCCUGGACGGUGUCUUGGUGUAAAUAUACUAGAUGUUAAUAUCUAUGGGGGAAGAGGGGGGGGGGGG